AUGCUUGGGAAUCUGGCUUAUGGAGGGGGAUAACUGUGGGAAACUGCAGCUAAUACCGCGUAAUCUCUGAGGAGUAAAGGGUGGGACCUAUUGGCCACCUGCCAUAAGAUGAGCCCAAGUGGGAUUAGGUAGUUGGUGGGGUAAAGGCCUACCAAGCCUGCGAUCUCUAGCUGGUCUGAGAGGAUGACCAGCCACACUGGAACUGAGACACGGUCCAGACUCCUACGGGAGGCAGCAGUGGGGAAUAUUGCGCAAUGGGGGGAACCCUGACGCAGCCAUGCCGCGUGAAUGAAGAAGGCCUUCGGGUUGUAAAGUUCUUUCGGUAAUGAGGAAGGGAUGUUGUUAAAUAGAUGGCAUCAUUGACGUUAAUUACAGAAGAAGCACCGGCUAACUCCGUGCCAGCAGCCGCGGUAAUACGGAGGGUGCGAGCGUUAAUCGGAAUAACUGGGCGUAAAGGGCACGCAGGCGGACUUUUAAGUGAGAUGUGAAAUCCCCGAGCUUAACUUGGGAAUUGCAUUUCAGACUGGG
rnacentral:rRNA from 1 species